rnacentral:misc_RNA from 1 species
GUUUGGCCAUAUGUUUUGCCAUGUUCUCUGUUGUGAAUAGUUUCUCUGCCAAUUGGAACUGAAACUUAUUGUUGAUUGGAUCUGGAAUUUGAUAAGCGUUCAUUGAAACCUUAUCCGGACUUUCAUGUCUGAUAACGUUCAGUCGUUGCAAGUUUUUUUUGUUAAUUACUUGGCAAAAAGAAAAAAAAGUGAAACAUUUAAAUGAAGUUUAAGUUUGUAACUAUAAUAAGCAUUAAACAGUUUUUGAAGGACAAUCCGAUGUUGCCACUGUUUGCAUGUUAGCAAUUGUCGUGGAUAAUUUUAGGUUCAUGUAAAAAAAUUUUAAACUAUUUCACCUCAUGCUUCAUAGAUGUUAGUAAUUAUUUUGACCAGAUUCAAGCUGCUAG